GACGAACGCUGGCGGCGUGCUUAACACAUGCAAGUCGAACGAUGAAGCUGGAGCUUGCUCCAGUGGAUUAGUGGCGAACGGGUGAGUAACACGUGAGCAAUCUGCCCUUGACUCUGGGAUAACUGCGGGAAACUGUAGCUAAUACCGGAUACGACACCUUGGGGCAUCCCGGGGUGUGGAAAGAAUUUCGGUCAAGGAUGAGCUCGCGGACUAUCAGCUUGUUGGUGAGGGAAAGGCUCACCAAGGCGACGACGGGUCGACGGCCUGGGAGGGUCACCGGCCACACUGGAACUGAGACACGGUCCAGACUCCUACGGGAGGCAGCAGUGGGGAAUAUUGCACAAUGGGCGAAAGCCUGAUGCAGCAACGCCGCGUGAGGGAUGACGGCCUUCGGGUUGUAAACCUCUUUUAGCAGGGAAGAAGCGAAAGUGACGGUACCUGCAGAAAAAGCACCGGCUAACUACGUGCCAGCCGCCGCCGUAA
rnacentral:rRNA from 1 species